rnacentral:rRNA from 1 species
GACCUGGCUCAGGACGAACGCUGGCGGCGUGCCUAACACAUGCAAGUCGAACGGAACUGUUUUGAAAGAUUUCUUCGGAAUGAAUUUGAUUUAGUUUAGUGGCGGACGGGUGAGUAACGCGUGAGUAACCUGCCUUCAAGAGGGGGAUAACAUUCUGAAAAGGAUGCUAAUACCGCAUGAUAUAUCGGAACCACAUGGUUUUGAUAUCAAAGAUUUUAUCGCUUGAAGAUGGACUCGCGUCCGAUUAG